CACCGGGCGGGGACAGUCCUGGGCUCGGUGCCUGCAGGGUCACGGGGGCCUGGGGCCGGUUACCGUGUGCGCAGAGGGGGUGUCAGACCCAGAGCCAUUGGCAGCGCCUCAGAGCCCCCCCGGGCUCAGCUGCUCCCUGCCAGCGCCAGCCCGAGCCACGGCUCUGUCGGGUCUGGGGUCACACAGCCCGCCUGCUGCUGGUGACACCAAAUAGUUCUGGGGUCACACAGCAGGACAACAUGCUUGCUGCUGGUGACACCAAAUAGUUCUGGGGUCACACAGCAGGACAACAUGCUUGCUGCUGGUGACACCAAAUAGUUCUGGGGUCACACAGCGGGACAGCCUGCCUGCUGCUGGUGACACCAAAUAGUUCUGGGGUCACACAGCGGGACAGCCUGCCUGCUGCUGGUGACACCAAAUAGUUCUGGGGUCACACAGCAGGACAACAUGCUUGCUGCUGGUGGCACCAAAUAGGUUUGGGAUCACACAGCGGGACAGCCCACCUGCUACUGGUGGCACCACGUAAGAGGGGUCUGGGAAGGUACACAGUGUGUGUCCUGUUUCUGAACUAUCUUCACAAUUAACAGAAUGGAAAAAUCCCUUUCUGCAGAUCAAGCCCAUCCACUGACAUUAAUUUUUGCCUUCGAUCUGCUCAGGCUGGUACCUAUAUCCUGGUUUGCUGGCCAUGCCUCUCGUUCGUACCUUUGUCAGAAAUCCUGUCUUGGACUUAAGAUGCUUUUCUCCCUGAAGUUUCACUAAAAUUGGUAAACUCCUGUGAAAAGUUUCAAUUCUGAGAAGAACAGUUUUCCUGAGGAAUUCCCAGCAAGUUUUUUACAACAGUUCUGGUAAAAGCAACUGUUCUCUGUC